rnacentral:lncRNA from 1 species
CAAAAAUUCAUUUGAAAAAAAAUCUGGUUAGAUUUCAUGGUAAUCUCUCCAGGGACACAAUAAUAAAUGCAGAGAGGUGUUCAUAAAGAGCAAUAUCAGAUGGCACCCCAAAAAAGGAUAUGAAAGAACACCAAAAGGGAACUCUAAAGAUUUAGUUGGAAAAGUAGAUGCAGAGAGGUGUUCAUAAAGAGCAAUAUCAGAUGGCACCCCAAAAAAGGAUAUGAAAGAACACCAAAAGGGAACUCUAAAGAUUUAGUUGGAAAAGUAGCUUCAGUCAUCCUAGCCUAGUCUGUGAUGCUGGGAAAAAACGUAAUAUGCUGUUUAUUGCAGCACUAUUCACAAUAGCAAAGACUUGGAACCAACCCAAAUGUCCAACAAUGAUAGACUGAAUUAAGAAGAUGUGGCACAUAUACACCAUGGAAUACUAUGCAGCCAUAAAAAAGGAUGAGUUAACGUCCUUUGCAGAGACAUGGAUGAAGCUGGAAACCAUCAUUCUGAGCAAACUAUCACAAGGACAGAAAACCAAACACCACAUGAUCUCACUCAUAAGUGGGAACUGAACAAUGAGAACACUUGGUCAUAGGGUGGGGAACAUCACACACUGGGGCCUGUCAUGCGGUGGGGGGCAGAGGGAGGAAUAACACUGGGAGAGAUACCUAAUGUAAAUGACGGGUUGAUGGAUGCAAUGGGCCAGCAUGGCACAUGUAAC